rnacentral:rRNA from 1 species
AGCUGGGACGAACGGAUAAAUACCGGGUAGCCCAGCGUAACCAUGCGCUAGCGGCGCCUCGUGCGUUCCGCACUACCGCACCCCCCCCUGGAGUCGGCCACCCAAACUCAAGACCGGGGCCCGCACACGCGACGCUGUCAUCAUCUACCGAAACCUACCGGCUACAUGUGAAACCCUGCGAAAGCGAGGGUGCGUCUCUGACGAAUCCACAAGUGGUGCAUGGCCGUCGUCAGCCCGUGCCGUGAGAUGUUGGGUUAAGUCCCGCAACGAGCGCAACCCCUGCCCCUAGUUGCUACCCCGAAUGGGGAGCACUCUAGGGGGACUGCCGGCGAUAAGCCGGAGGAAGGUGGGGAUGACGUCAGGUCAGUAUGCCCUUUAUGCCCGGGGCUACACAGGCGCUACAGUGGCCAGGACAAUGGGAUGCGACCCAGUAAUGGGGAGCAAAUCCCCCAAACCUGGCCAUGGUGCGGAUUGAGGGCUGAAACUCGCCCUCAUGAAGCCGGAAUCGGUAGUAAUGGCGGAUCAGCUAAGCCGCCGUGAAUACGUUCUCGGGCCUUGCACACACCGCCCGUCACGCCACGGAAGUCAGUCUUCCCGGAAGGCCCCAAGCUAACCCGCAAGGGAGGCAGGGGACGAUGGGAAGGCUGGCAACUGGGGCGGAGUCGUAACAAGGUAA